CAUACCCAAUAUUGGGCCUUAUCUGACAAGAGCAAUUGUAACUCACAGGCAACAAAUUGAACAAACACGGGAACAGCUGCAGCAGGCAGAGCUCACCUUUAGAUACCAGUUCAUGAGAAGAAUGCUCAGGACAACUAGAUCAAGACUCAGAUCUGGGACAGGGAGAUGGCGGAGCAGGGCAGGGAGGUCGCUUACUUGAAAUACAGGUGUGGUCAUUUGACUUGCGUUUUUAUGGGUGUUUCCAGGGAUGACACCUGCACUGUUUGUUGUCUAGUAGACGACGUGGUGUUGCAACUCUUAUAGAAGUCCAUUAUUUUUCUGUAUCCAAGACUGGAAGGGAUGGAAGCACAGAGGCUGCCUGAGGGAUACACGAGGCAGAAACCAAUCACUGCAAGAACCCUGCAAGGAGAGGGCAGUCUGGAUCCUGGGGACCUCCUCUGUUAACUGGACGAUUCUGCAUGCCCUACCCUGGAGAUGCCCCGCCCCCAUGGACUAUUAGGCACGUCCACCUCCUGAACCUUAGUGGCCCUGAGGCCACCCGGAACCCCUCCACCUGCAACACUUGAAUUUCAGCUCAUUUUUCCAUAGGACACAAUUACCCUGCAAAGUGUACUGCACUUAAGCUGAGAAGUACCUCCGAAGUAAAAUAAAUUAGCUGAACCCAACUAACAUGCUAUUUUGUAUGCAAGAGUCCUGGUCCUUUCCCAGGAUUGCCUUGCAGGCUGUACCCCAUGGACCACCCUUCACCACCAGUCAUGGGCUAUAGGCCACAUCCCCCUCCUCCACCUACUCUAUUUGUUAAGAUGACCUGAACUGGAUGAGUGGCUGGACAACUCUUUUGAAAUCUGAACAGGACUGUGCACGGUGACAGACUAUGGUGAUUAUAUAUACAUUUUAAGAAGGUGUCAGAUCUACCUGAAUGCUUUCCCUGCCCAUCAUGUCCCCUCCACUUUGUCCUUCCUACUGUCCCCUAAUCUACCUUUCAUCGUUUUG